CCAGUAACGGCGAGUGAAGCGGCAACAGCUCAAAUUUGAAAUCUGGCCCCCGGGUCCGAGUUGUAAUUUGUAGAGGAAGCUUUUGGUGCGGUACCUUCCGAGUUCCCUGGAACGGGACGCCAUAGAGGGUGAGAGCCCCGUCUGGUCGGAUACCAAUCCUCUGUAAAGCUCCUUCGACGAGUCGAGUAGUUUGGGAAUGCUGCUCUAAAUGGGAGGUAUAUGUCUUCUAAAGCUAAAUACCGGCCAGAGACCGAUAGCGCACAAGUAGAGUGAUCGAAAGAUGAAAAGCACUUUGAAAAGAGAGUUAAAAAGUACGUGAAAUUGUUGAAAGGGAAGCGCUCAUGACCAGACGUGGGCUUGGUUGAUCAACCUGGGUUCUCCCCGGUGCACUCUUCCUCGCCCAGGCCAGCAUCAGUUUGCUUCGGGGGAUAAAGGCGUCGGGAAUGUGGCUCCCCCGGGAGUGUUAUAGCCCGUCGUGCAAUACCCUGCGGCAGACUGAGGUUCGCGUUCCGCAAGGAUGCUGGCGUAAUGGUCAUCAGCGACCCGUCUUGAAACACGGACCAAGGAGUCGUCUUCGUAUGCGAGUGUUCGGGUGUUAAACCCCUACGCGAAAUGAAAGUGAACGUAGGUGAGAGCUUCGGCGCAUCACCGACCGAUCCUGAUGUUCUCGGAUGGAUUUGAGUAAGAGCAUACGGGGCCGGACCCGAAAGAAGGUGAACUAUGCCUGUAUAGGGUGAAGCCAGAGGAAACUCUGGUGGAGGCUCGCAGCGGUUCUGACGUGCAAAUCGAUCGUCAAAUAUGGGCAUGGGGGCGAAAGACUAAUCGAACCUUCUAGUAGC
rnacentral:rRNA from 1 species